GACGUAGGGCGCGAGCGUUGUCCGGAUUUAUUGGGCGUAAAGAGCUCGUAGGCGGCUUGUUGCGUCGGCUGUGAAAACCCGCGGCUUAACCGUGGGCUUGCAGCCGAUACGGGCAGGCUAGAGUUCGGUAGGGGAGACUGGAAUUCCUGGUGUAGCGGUGAAAUGCGCAGAUAUCAGGAGGAACACCGGUGGCGAAGGCGGCAUCCUGGACCGACACUGACGCUGAUGAGCGAAAGCCAGGGGAGCAAACGGG
rnacentral:rRNA from 1 species